rnacentral:rRNA from 1 species
GAUGAACGCUGGCGGCGUGCCUAAUACAUGCAAGUCGAGCGAACAGACGAGGAGCUUGCUCCUCUGACGUUAGCGGCGGACGGGUGAGUAACACGUGGAUAACCUACCUAUAAGACUGGGAUAACUUCGGGAAACCGGAGCUAAUACCGGAUAAUAUAUUGAACCGCAUGGUUCAAUAGUGAAAGACGGUUUUGCUGUCACUUAUAGAUGGAUCCGCGCCGCAUUAGCUAGUUGGUAAGGUAACGGCUUACCAAGGCAACGAUGCGUAGCCGACCUGAGAGGGUGAUCGGCCACACUGGAACUGAGACACGGGCCAGAGUCCUACGGGAGGCAGCAGUAGGCAAUCUUCCGCAAUGGGCGAAAGCCUGACGGAGCAAGGCCGCGUGAGUGAUGAAGGUCUUCGGAUCGUAAAACUCUGUUAUUAGGGAAGAACAACUGUGGAAGUAACUAUGCCCGUCUUGACGGUACCUAAUCAGAAAGCCACGGCUAACUACGUG